rnacentral:tRNA from 1 species
GAUGAGGUGGCUGAGCGUGGUAAAGCAGCAGUUUGCUAAAUUGUAGAGAAAAUCUCCAUGGGUUCAAAUCCCAUCUUCAUCA